rnacentral:rRNA from 1 species
GACGAACGCUGGCGGCGUGCUUAACACAUGCAAGUCGAACGGAAAGGCCCUGCUUUUGUGGGGUGCUCGAGUGGCGAACGGGUGAGUAACACGUGAGUAACCUGCCCUUGACUUUGGGAUAACUUCAGGAAACUGGGGCUAAUACCGGAUAGGAGCUCCUGCUGCCUGGUGGGGGUUGGUCAGUUUCGGCGGUUGGGGAUGGACUCGCGGCUUAUCAGCUUGUUGGUUGGGUAGUGGAUUACCAAGGCUUUGCCGGGUAGCCGGCCUGGGCGGGGGGCCGGCCAAAUUGGAGCUGAGAUACGGCCCAGACGCCUACGGGAGGCAGCAGUGGGGAAUAUUGCACAAUGGGCGGAAGCCUGAUGCAGCAACGCCGCGUGCGGGAUGACGGCCUUCGGGUUGUAAACCGCUUUCGCCUGUGACGAAGCGUGAGUGACGGUAAUGGGUAAAGAAGCACCGGCUAACUACGUG